AUUGAACGCUGGCGGCAUGCUUUACACAUGCAAGACGAACGGGCUUAGGUGCUUGCACCUAAGUUAGUGGCGAACGGGUGAGUAAUGCAUCGGAACGUACGGUGUAGUGGGGGAUAACUCGGCGAAAGCUGGAUUAUUACCGCAUACGAUCUAAGGAUGACAGCAGGGGAUCGCACGACCUUGCGGUAUACGAGCGGCCGAUGUCGGAUUAGCGAGUUGGUAGGGUAAAGGCCUACCAAGGCAACGAUCCGUAGCGGGUCUGAGAGGAUGAUCCGCCACACUGGGACUGAGACACGGCCCAGACUCCUACGGGGGGCAGCAGUGGGGAAUUUUGGACAAUGGGCGAAAGCCUGAUCCAGCCAUGCCGCGUGAGUGAAGAAGGCCUUCGGGUUGUAAAGCUCUUUUGUCCGGGAGCAAAUCCUGUUCACUAAUACUGAGCGGGGCUGAGAGUACCGGAAGAAUAAGCACCGGCUAACUACGUGCCAGCCGCCGCUGUAAUAC
rnacentral:rRNA from 1 species